rnacentral:lncRNA from 1 species
CUGUUUUUGUAUCCACCCCCUAAUAUUUAAAGAUCAACCUCUCAUAGAAUCUGCAAAUUAAGACGUAUCUGAUGUGAUCAUGAAAAAAAAAAAAUCCUUCCAGGUGUUAUCUGUCAAGAUUGGAUUCGACCAAGUGACCAGAGGACCAGUGUUUCCAGUACAGAAGGAGAUCCUGUAACACUGGAGUGUUCAUAUGACACAAGCAGCAGCUAUGUUCUCCUUUAUUGGUACAGACAGUUUUCUAAAACACAGCCAGAAUAUAUACUGCUUAAAGGUGGACGAUCAGAGACAUAUGAGAACAUACCAGACCCUGAUCGAUUUGGAUCAACUACAUCCCAGAAAUCCACUUCACUGACCAUUAAAAGUGUAACUCUGUCAGAUUCAGCUCUUUAUUACUGUGCUCUAAGAGUAACAGCCCAGUGUUACAAAGUGCCUGAGAGGCUGUACAAAAACUCACUCAGAAAACUUGCUUUGAACAGUGAGUUAUCAAAUGAAUAUCAGACCACAUUUGUGUCUUCAUAAACCACAAAGUCAAAUUGAAGGAUAAGGUAACACCUGCAGCAAAUAAACAAACAGCUGCAUGUAGCCUACAGUAAAC